UACAUAGGGGGCAAGCGUUAUCCGGAAUGAUUGGGUGUAAAGGGUGCGUAGACGGAGGAGCAAGUUGGCUGUGAAAUCCCUCGGCUUAACUGAGGAACUGCAACCAAAACUACUUCCCUUGAGUGUCGGAGGGGAAAGUGGAAUUCCUAGUGUAGCGGUGAAAUGCGUAGAUAUUAGGAGGAACACCGGUGGCGAAGGCGACUUUCUGGACGAUAACUGACGUUGAGGCACGAAAGUGUGGGGAGCAAAC
rnacentral:rRNA from 1 species